AUAUCAUGAUUUGGACACUUCCUCAUCAACUCUUUAAAUCUGUUCCAUGCCUCUUGAAAGCUCUCUCCGUCCCUCUAUUGGAAAGUUUGAAUUUUCAAUCUGAUUUU
rnacentral:snoRNA from 1 species